UACGUAGGCAGCAAGCGUUGUUCGGAAUUACUGGGCGUAAAGGGUGCGUAGGCGGUCGGGUAAGUCUGAUGUGAAAUCUCACAGCUUAACUGUGAAACUGCAUUGGAUACUAUCCGGCUCGAGGAAUGGAGGGGAGACUGGAAUACUUGGUGUAGCAGUGAAAUGCGUAGAUAUCAAGUGGAACACCAGUGGCGAAGGCGAGUCUCUGGACAUUUCCUGACGCUGAGGCACGAAAGCCAGGGGAGCAAACGGG
rnacentral:rRNA from 1 species